rnacentral:rRNA from 1 species
AUGGCGAUGGUGUCCUCCAAGCCCCUGGCCCUGCUGCUGCUCGUGGCUCUGUCCGCGGCAACGCCCAUGCCGGCCGUCGGCGAAGGCUCCUGCAACGGCCACAAGGUGACGGUGCAGAACCUGUGCGGCCACGACCUGACCCUGGGCAUCGAGGCGCGCUCCAACAGCAAGGAGCUCUUCCCCAACGGCUGGCUGCUCCCCAGCGGGAAGCACGAGUCGUUCGACGUGUGCGCGUGGACGGGGAGCGUCUCGGCGCAGGGCGCCGCCGUGGCCAAGUUCCACAUAGACCACGAGGGCGGGGCGUACUACGAGGUGAGCACCGACCAGGCGAGCAUGUCUGUCCGCGUCUCCGUCACCCCGCACGGCAGCCCGCUGCAGGGCCACUGCCCCACCGCCGGGUGCGACACCGGCAACCACUGCUUCGAGCACUCCGUCCCCGGCGGCAACUGCCACGGCGUCACCGAGAUCAAGAUCGUCUACUACAACCCAUAG